AACCACCAUUGCUGAGAUUGUCGGUCCAGUAAGCAGUCCAGGCAGGCCUCCACGGUCCAUUGCAACUAGGGUUGCCAACUCCAGGAAAGAAACAAAGGUGAACUAAAGCUUUUCUACUGGAUUCCUGUUGGCGGCAGGCAUGGAGAGUGGGGAUCCUUCCUGAGGCGGAGGGAGGGUGACCCAAACUGGACACAACCUGCUAAACGCAGCAGUGCCGAGGAUGGAUAUUAUAAUGGCCCUGCAGGCCACAUCACCCCUUCCACCCCUGAAGCUGCUGUAAUUUUCCUGCCCUGUCUUAUCGCUGUGGUGAGGGGGGGAACUUGACCCUUAGACCCCAAACUUAUUUGCCCAGGAAGUGUCUCUGUUAGCAGUUGUAUAUCA